rnacentral:rRNA from 1 species
UACGUAGGUGACAAGCGUUGUCCGGAUUUACUGGGCGUAAAGAGCGCGCAGGCGGUCGAUCAAGUCGAGUGUGAAAGCCCCCGGCUCAACUGGGGAGGGUCAUUCGAUACUGAUCGACUCGAAGGCAGGAGAGGGUAGUGGAAUUCCCGGUGUAGUGGUGAAAUGCGUAGAGAUGCGGAGGAACACCGAUGGCGAAGGCAGCCCCCUGGGCUAGCACUGACGCUCAGGCACGAAAGCGUGGGGAGCAAACAGG